GGGUGAUUUAUUUGUUUUUCUGCAGAAUCACCAGUUAAGUUUUUUCCUGAGAGCAAGAACAUUGCUGGGUUUGAUAAUGUGCAAUCACUGGAGCUAUAACAACUCCUCUUGAUGUCAUAAAAACUAGAUUAAUGGUUCAGGGGUCAGCAAACCAGUACAAAGGUAUAUUUGAUUGUGUUAGGACUAUCAUUAGAGAAGAAGGGA